GACGAACGCUGGCGGUGUGCUUAACGCAUGCAAGUCGUGCGACGAACCAGACUUCGGUCUGGGGCAAAGCGGCGAACGGUGAGUAACACGUGGGUAAUCUGCCCCGAUGACUGGGACAACCCGAGGAAACUCGGGCUAAUACCGGAUGUGGUGCCUGGACUCAAGUCCGGUCACUAAAGGUAGCUUCGGCUUCCGCAUUGGGAGGGGCCCGCGGCCCAUUAGCUUGUUGGUGGGGUCAAGGCCUACCAAGGCAACGAUGGGUAGCUGGUCUGAGAGGACGAUCAGCCACACUGGGACUGAGACACGGCCCAGACUCCUACGGGAGGCAGCAGUGGGGAAUCUUGCGCAAUGCGCGAAAGCGUGACGCAGCAACACCGCGUGAGGGAAGACGGCCUUAGGGUUGUAAACCUCUUUCAGAUGGGACGAAGGUGAUGCGGUGAAUAGCCGAUGUCAUUGACGGUACCGUCAGAAGAAGCUCCGGCUAACUACGUGCCAGCAGCCGCGGUAAUC
rnacentral:rRNA from 1 species